GAUGAACGCUAGCGGGAGGCCUAACACAUGCAAGCCGAGCGGUAUUUGUUCUUCGGAACAGAGAGAGCGGCGCACGGGUGCGGAACACGUGUGCAACCUGCCUUUAUCUGGGGGAUAGCCUUUCGAAAGGAAGAUUAAUACCCCAUAAUAUAUUGAGUGGCAUCAUUUGAUAUUGAAAACUCCGGUGGAUAGAGAUGGGCACGCGCAAGAUUAGAUAGUUGGUGAGGUAACGGCUCACCAAGUCAAUGAUCUUUAGGGGGCCUGAGAGGGUGAUCCCCCACACUGGUACUGAGACACGGACCAGACUCCUACGGGAGGCAGCAGUGAGGAAUAUUGGACAAUGGGUUAGCGCCUGAUCCAGCCAUCCCGCGUGAAGGACGACGGCCCUAUGGGUUGUAAACUUCUUUUGGAUAGGGAUAAACCUAUUCUCGUGAGAGUAGCUGAAGGUACUAUACGAAUAAGCACCGGCUAACUCCGUG
rnacentral:rRNA from 1 species